CCAUCCCGGCCAAUCAGCUGUCGGCGAGAUGACCUUUUCGCUGGCGCCCUGACCCUGAUGGGAGGUGAAGUGUGUGGCUGGUAGCAGUCAGUACUGGCACAGCAGGACGAGGACGAGGACUAACACGAGGAAGAGGAAAAGGACCAGGCCGGAGGGCGAGAGAUUUUCUUGGCCAGUCACUCCUGUUCCCGUCCUCCUCUCUCCUCUCAACUCCUCUUCGGCUGGAGUCACAGCAGCCUCCCUCGGCCAGUUUACACCGUGUUUCACACGCAAGGACUCUCUCGUCUCUUGUUACACAAGUCAGAACCACUCUCAUAGAGCUGUUUAGAAGAGGCAUUACUGCUGACUGUGUUUACAACCCAAUGACGUUUCCCCCUCUGACUCUUUUAUGUCUUGAAGUCUUCGCUCCCUCAUCUUCACGUCAAUCACAUGUCCUCUGACUCCCACCACGUUUAACGACGAGCUAACAAGCUAGCUCCUGUUGAAAAGAAAGACCGUCUCUCUUCAUGGAGUUGUGUGUCUUUCUGAGAAUGAUCUUUCAAAUCUUUCAAACUCUGCUGAGGCAACUCUGAAUGAACCAACUACUGGCUCUUCACUGUAACACAGAGUAAUACAUCCAAGUUCCCCUAGCGAGUGUUUGCUGUGUUCGUUUACAGCUGCAGCUGUUUGAUUGAUUCAGGAUUACGUUGGCAUUAUUGUUAUAUCAUGACAUGACAAUAAACUGUGAGAAAAGCCUCUUAAUACCAAUUAAGAAUGAUACAAAUAACGUUGCAUAAUCAUUAGUUGAAUUUGAAUAAUUAUUGUUUUA